rnacentral:RNase_P_RNA from 1 species
UAAGUAGAACAAAUGAUCGCGGCUGCAUAAAAGGAACUGUCAUUCCUUUGCAGCUGAGGAAAGUCCGGGCUUCACAGGGCAGGAUGCCGGAUAACGUCCGGUGGAGGCGACUCCAAGGCUAGUGCAACAGAAAUAUACCGCCGGUAUUUUGGCUUAGCCAAAGUAUCUGGAAGAAUUGCAAGGCGAUUCUUCCGAUGGUCUGCCAGCAGACCAUCUGGUCAGGGUGGAAAGGCAGUGUAAGAGACUACCGUCCCUUUGGUAACAAAGGGAGCCAUGUAAACCCCAUCCGAAGCAAGUCCGAAAAGAAAGCGUUAAUGCCGGCCCGGCAGGCUUUCAGGUGGGACGCUGGAGGCUGCUGGCAACAGCAGUCCAAGAUAGAUGAUCAUUCGAUGGUUUUUACCAUCCGACAUAACCCGGCUUAUCGUUCUGCUUAAAUU